UAAAUACUCCCUCCGUCCGGAAAUACUUGUCGAAAAAAUGGAUAAAAAUGGAUGUAUCUAGAACUAAAAUACGUCUAGAUACAUCUAUUUCUCCGACAAGUAUUUCCGGACGGAGGGAGUAGUUU
rnacentral:pre_miRNA from 1 species